GACUAUUAUCGGUGGAUCAUUUGGCUCAUGUGUUGAUGAAGAGCACAGUUAGCUGUAAAAACUAAUGUUAAUCCCAGGACACAUUGAUCAUUGACACUUCAAGCGCACUUGCAGCCUGGGUUCCCCUUGGGACUAUGCCUGUCUGAGCAUCA
rnacentral:rRNA from 1 species